rnacentral:tRNA from 1 species
AGGGUUGUGGCUCAGUGGUAGAGCACUUGCCUAGCACGUGUGAGGCACUGGGUUCAAUUCCCAGCAUCACAU